UCUUAUGUACAUACCUAUAAAUUAGUGUUAAUGCAUUGGAUCCCAUUAGAACUCCGCAGUUAAGCAUGCUCGGGCUAGAGUAGUACUAGGAUGGGUGAUCGCCCGGGAAGUCCUAGCAUUUUACAUGCC
rfam:Picea glauca, whole genome shotgun sequence.